rnacentral:rRNA from 1 species
CCUACGGGUGGCAGCAGUGGGGAAUAUUGCGCAAUGGGCGAAAGCCUGACGCAGCUACGCCGCGUGGGUGAUGAAGGUCUUCGGAUCGUAAAGCUCUGUCGGGAGGGAAGCGGUACCUCCCAAGAAAGCACCGGCUAACUCCGUGCCAGCAGCCGCGGUAAUACGGAGGGUGCAAGCGUUGCUCGGAAUUACUGGGCGUAAAGCGUACGCAGGCUGUUCGUUAAGUCGGGUGUGAAAGCCCGGGGCUCAACCCCGGAAUUGCGCCCGAAACUGACGAGCUUGAGUGCGGGAGAGGGAAGCGGAAUUCCUGGUGUAGAGGUGAAAUUCGUAGAUAUCAGGAGGAACACCGGUGGCGAAAGCGGCUUCCUGGCCGAACUGACGCUCAUGUACGAAAGCGUGGGGAGCAAACAGGAUUAGAUACCCUUGUAGUC